UAGGGAAUCUUCGGCAAUGGGGGGAACCCUGACCGAGCAACGCCGCGUGAGUGAAGAAGGUUUUCGGAUCGUAAAGCUCUGUUGUUAAGGAAGAACGAGUGUGAGAAUGUAAAGUUCAUGCUGUGACGGUACUUAACCAGAAAGGGACGGCUAACUACGUGCCAGCAGCCGCGGUAAUACGUAGGUCCCGAGCGUUGUCCGGAUUUAUUGGGCGUAAAGCGAGCGCAGGCGGUUAGAAAAGUCUGAAGUGAAAGGCAGUGGCUCAACCAUUGUAGGCUUUGGAAACUGUUUAACUUGAGUGCAGAAGGGGAGAGUGGAAUUCCAUGUGUAGCGGUGAAAUGCGUAGAUAUAUGGAGGAACACCGGUGGCGAAAGCGGCUCUCUGGUCUGUAACUGACGCUGAGGCUCGAAAGCGUGGGGAGCGAACAGG
rnacentral:rRNA from 1 species